rnacentral:rRNA from 1 species
UACGUAGGGUGCAAGCGUUAAUCGGAAUUACUGGGCGUAAAGUGUGCGCAGGCGGCUUCGCAAGUCGAGUGUGAAAUCCCCGAGCUUAACUUGGGAAUUGCGCUCGAAACUACGGAGCUGGAGUGUGGCAGAGGGAGGUAGAAUUCCACGUGUAGCGGUGAAAUGCGUAGAUAUGUGGAGGAAUACCGAUGGCGAAGGCAGCCUCCUGGGCCAACACUGACGCUCAUGCACGAAAGCGUGGGGAGCAAACAGG